rnacentral:rRNA from 1 species
GCAGUCGCCGCGGUAAUACAGAGGGUGCGAGCGUUAAUCGGAUUUACUGGGCGUAAAGCGUGCGUAGGCGGCUUUUUAAGUCGGAUGUGAAAUCCCUGAGCUUAACUUAGGAAUUGCAUUCGAUACUGGGAAGCUAGAGUAUGGGAGAGGAUGGUAGAAUUCCAGGUGUAGCGGUGAAAUGCGUAGAGAUCUGGAGGAAUACCGAUGGCGAAGGCAGCCAUCUGGCCUAAUACUGACGCUGAGGUACGAAAGCAUGGGGAGCAAACAGGAUUAGAGACCCCAGUAGUCCCUGUCUCUUAUAC